ACGGGCUGCAUUCAGAAGUGUUACGAUGCAGGAUGUGAUGAAUGUGAUGAAAUGCCAGGACUUGAUGGUUCAGCAGCUCUGAGCAGGGCAGCCCAUGGGAUUUGGGAAGGCUUUCCAGUAGCUGCCAUCUUUAAGUGAAAUAAGUUGGGCUUUAUGCUAAGAAAGAAGAAACCUUGAGAAAAUAUAAUAGAAGGCAACUGCUGUUUUCUCCUAGUGGACUGAAAACCAAGCCAAUGUAGGAUAUCAUAGACCUGCUAAUGAAGAUGUUAUCUCUGGAAACUUUCUGCAUUACUCAGCAUUAAUUCCAUCCAGCUGCUAAGUAGUGAUGUCCUUGGUUACCAAGAUAAUUCUCUGAACAGCUGCAACAGUGCUGGGAAAUGCCACCUGCAAUUGGAAGACAAGAUCAAGUUCUGAGAAGAGAUUUUUUUUUUAUUUUUAUUUUAUUAGUUUACAAUAAGCUGUCCCCUCUUUGGCAACAAACAAAUGAACUCGGAGACUUUUAUCAGCUGUUUAGCUGGCAUGUGUUUGCCUGCCUAGUUUUGAAAUUAGGGUCAUGCUUCCUAAUAGGUAAGUACAGAACCACAAGCAAACAGAAGCUGCCUUGCAGGGAGCACUUUUAAACAUACGUGCUGCAUUUAGGUACAUUGGAUAUUUAAAGUAUAAUAAAAUAAAGACUGCUACCAGUACCAUCUACAAGAUAAAAAUUGAGACUUCAAUAAUGCUAAUUAUGUGCAGACAAACUGACAGAAUAUCCUGCUAAAUGAACAAGUAGGUGUCCACCUCAGUGACUGAAUAGUUAAUUGUCUUAAUCGCAGAUGGAGUAAUUGCACAAAUGUAUUUGUGUAGUACUGUAAGAGCCUGUUUCAUGCAUAAUAACUGGGCCUAAAUAUGUCCUCUGUUUGGUUUCCACGAUCUCAAUACAGACUGCAGCAACAGUCAGCAGUACUGGGUAAGUCCUCUAGCUGUAGCCUCUCGCUCCCGUCCAUUUUAGACUGUCAUUGCAGUUUUGUUUGAAAGAAUCCAGGUGGCUAUUGCUUGUCAGUCUUGCGUAUCAUAGUUUUAAGCUAUUAGUUAAGAAGAUGCCAGAGCUAGAAGGGUCUUCUACAGCAAAAAUGUAAUCAAGUUCACCUCAGCUGAUUUCCAUCUGAAACAAAGAAAAAACCCACCAGAGACUCAAGCAGGACAGUUCUAAGAGCCUUCAAAGUAAAAUUUUUUGCUCUAUCUGGAUAGUCACAAAAAUGCCUGAGAUGUUGAGUCUUGGUUUCUGAUUAAAUUCUCUAGCAUUGGGUAAAAUAAAUCUAUCCUUUUAAAGUUAGAAGUAUAUGUAUAUAAAAUUACAUGUAAAUCAAACAGUUUUGCCUUAGUGAAGCUAGGUUAGAAACAUUCUCUAGAAGCACAAACCACAGGAACAGAAGCUGAAAAAAGCAUUCGUUGAAAUUCAUGCCUCCGGAUUUUAUACAUUUAUAUUAAAAGUGUGUUGUGCUCUUUCAAACUGGUGAGCUAAAGUCUUUCCUUUGCAAAGAUGAUCCACUCUCUGCCCCCACAACUUACAACCCUUAAUUUAAAGUAAAAACCACCUGCUUCUCAUGGUUACUUUUUAAUUACCUUGAGUCCCUAAUUCUGGUAUGAAAAAAGUGUGAGGUCAGUUGUAUCCUGAAAAAAUGCUGGUUUGUGAGCUAGAAUUGGAGUCAGAGCUCAGGUAUUGAUCUCAGAAAAAAAAAUUACAGAGGAUUGUAGGGAUUUUGCUCUGACAAGAAAGAAUGACUUUUAAGCCUCCAAAGAUGCAAAAUUCUUUCAGCGACAUGCGUUAGUGAUAAUCAGUGUGUGUUGCUAUGGUUCAGUAGAAGUCAGCACUGAACUUCACAAAACUCUUUCAACCUUUCCUCUCUAACUGUAUAAAUGUGAAAGUAACAAUAAAUCUUGUUGACAAUUACUUCCACAUCUAUUGGCAGUCAGUCAGCUGCAAUGUGAACAGCAUUGUGCACAAUAUGUGCAGCACAGCCAACACCCAUUAACUAUCUCCCUAGUUUCUCCUGUGACUCAGAGAACAUGUUAUUUUUCCCCAGUGAGCAGGCCUUUCAGAUGGUGAAUUAGUAAUAUUAGCACCAAAUACUACUAAUUUGUCAGCCAGGCUGUGUUUUCCCAAAGUGUUCACAAUGGGGUCUGAUAACUGCUUUGUAGUGCAGCAGGUCAAAGAUGAGAAUUCAAAAGGUUUUGCAAAUCAUUUGUGUAAAACGUAAAGAAGUGGUGUAAAAUACAUUUUUUUAUCAUUAGAAUAGUCAGUAUGUGUCUUAAAAAAAAAAAAAAAAAGGUGAAUUUUCAACCCUAUUCAGCAACAAACUUAAAUGCAUGCUAAUAGAGAAGCAUAUACAUAAGUUAAUUGAAGAAACAGAGCUAGAAAGAUUUCUAACAAUAUGAAAUACUUGUUAAAAGAGGGUAUUGUCAGAACCUCUGUAUUUUCAGAUAUUACUGGCUAGCUUAAAUAAUAUUUAUGAAGAAGAAGAAAAAGUUCUCUGCUAUAAAUGACAAAUUUCUAUUGUAUAUCAUGCAUUCAUUGCUUGCAUAAAAUUCUCAUUGACAUCGAUAUGAAGUCUGAGCAAAUAAUUGUGAAGCAUAUGAAACUGAAAAGCACAAAUGGAUCAGGGUUGAUAGUCUUAUUUUUCUAAUCAGUUUUCCCAUGCAAUUCUUACAGGCAAAUGCACAUACACACUUAUAUGUGAAACCAUAAACAUAUAGAUAGAUGACCUGUAUCUAAUUUUCAUAAAUACAUAGCUAUCUACCAUCAGUAAAAACAUGACAUUCAAUAGACAACAGAGAUUUGCUGUGGACAACUGAAAAACUAAUUCAGCUUCUCUUCUUUCAUGAAAUUGUUUAUUUUCAAUUCAUGCUUAGUCUAAUACAGCAUAUGAAUGAUAUUUAAGUAGGGGUUGUUACAGCUAAAGCUGUCUGUAGUUUUCCCCAUUGCAAGAUUCACAACAGGCCAGCAUUAAGCUGACUGAUUUAGUAGGAGGGAAAGGGAACCACUUUGGUGGCCAGGGAGGAUGCAUAGGAAGUCUUUGCCAGAACAGCCUACAAGUUGGAAGGAAGCUUGUGAAUUAUGUGUGAUUAUCCACGGAGUUUUGUCCACAUCUGCAUAGCACUACUUUUUAAAGCGGGAGGAUGUAAUCUAACUGCAGACUGGAUGGUGCUACAGGAAUUCUGAUGGCUGGGAAGGGCCACAGCAUUAGAGACUGGACUCUGUCUUCUGUGACUGCCAGUCAUUUCUCAGCUGGAAUAAUGAAUCUUUUCCAAUUUCUAAAGGAGUCAGAGAAGUCCACAAUCUCUCUUGUCUGCAACUUGAAUGUCCUUCCUAGGUUUUCAGCUGAGUCAUUUGUGGAUUUUGAUACAAUUUUGGGAUUACUUUCUGUGUCGCUUUUCUGUGCUCUGAAAGUUGUAUUAUAGGAAAACUCCCGAUGUAGGAAAAACUGUAUUUCAUUCUUGGUGUACCAAUGCUGGAUGAAAAAAAGGAAAAACAAAAACGAAAAAAUACACUGGGAGUGAGACUGUUGGGUAGGUUCUGUCCUGGGAAUUAUCACUAAUUUACUUGAUUCUAGGCCAAUCACUGGCAAACAUUUUCAGUGCUUUAUACACUGGAUAUCUAAGUCCCUUUUAGACAACUGACCUGAUUAACACCUACAGUUCUCCACAAAAUAGUGCCUUAGGCAGUUAUUUACAGAUUUGAUAAUUUUGAGAGAAGAUUCUAGAAUCCAGGGUUUCUGGAAAUAAAAUGAAUUUCAUUACUCUCUAAAGUAUGUUCGAAGGUGCUUAACAACUAGUUUCCAGUUUUGUCAUCACCCUUUCUGGACCCAUUGUGUACAUUGCAAAACAAACCCAUGUUUGACUUAGAGUUUUCUGGCAUGGUUAGCCAAUAGUUUUCAAACUCUGUAAGAUCCUUCCAUGGAAAUUUCUGCAUAACAGAAAUGUCUGCCUCUUGGAGCGUAUACUAGAUACUACCUCUUUCUUUUAUUUUGCUUGAAUUUGGAUAAAAGUAGUUAAUGGAAUUAUCCAGCACUAGUAGAGCUGACGCGAUGAUAUUGGUUGUAAAAACUGCCCCUGUGUAAGAACAUUGUUUUUUUUAUUGAAAUGAGUCUUUUGUUUUAUGCUUCGCAAUUGCCCUGUGUUUUAAUUCCCUCAUAAGGAUCCUUUAAAAAAAAAAGGUGUUGGGGUCGGGUAGGAAAAGAAGGAAAAUAGAAAAGUAUAUGUUGUAGAUGUUAUAUUCACAUAUUUUUUUUCCCACAAAGAAAAGGAAACUGCUAGAAGUGUUGAUUUGUUUAAAGCCUUUUAACAAUUGGAGAUUAUUGAAAUACUAAAUUACUGGCACACAAGAGAACUAGAUGAUUGUUGUUCCACAUUUACAACACAAACCAAAUAAUGGAUUGGAAAAAACAACAGCAGCAAAUAUUUUGAGUCUUAAUUAUCAGGCUGAAAAGACUGAUGAACAAAAGAGAGAAGUGGGGAAUGUGUAGUAUAGUGAAUUGAAGGACAAAUACGUUAAAAAAAAUUUAAAGCCUUUGUCAGGCUCAAAAAAGAGAAACAGACUUAAUUAUUAUUUUCUCUUUAUUCCAUUUUGGGAGCUUUAUCUGAAACUAUAACUUAGAAAGAGCAAUUAUAAACAAAUGGCACCCAGCAUGAAUACUUCACUGAGGUUUGAUCAUCUCAUCCUUGUCUCUUACAUCAGCACAAUGAUGUGUUGCCCAUUGGAAAACAGCACGACCAGGAGUGUAGAAGAGAAGCCAUGCAGUGAUUUAAACCUAUAGCUUCAUUUAUAUGCUCCAUAUGGAAUUGCAACCUGGACAAUAGUAUCAAUCUAUUAAAAUGAAGAGUUUAUUCUAAUGGAACCUGGCUAGAUUAGUUAAAAUAUUCUGCAGUUCAUGGAGAACAACAGAGAAUAUGGAAAUAAUUUCCUAGAAUAAUCCAGAGAAUUACUUUAUGUUUCUGAUAUAGAUCGCUGGGGAAAUAAUUUAAAAGCAUUUUUAAAUAUCUUCCAUUUUCUAUUAUGAGCCUUUGGAUCUCCACAGUUUGAAAGAAGUGAGACAUUGUGGCUUAGAAAACUAAUUACAAAACAUAAAAAUGCUCAAGUCUAAUGGAACAAAUCAGACAGAAAAAAGAUUUCCUUACAGAAAGAUCAAUGUUGGAAUGGAAGCUACAGUUUUUACGUAAGUGUCUUCCUCUCAACAUCUUUGUUAUACAUUCUCUUUGUUCCUGUUAGCUAACUAAUUAGCUAUGGUGUUUUGUUGUGGGUUGGUUUUUUUAAUGCCCCUUACACUGGGUUAAUUUUGUCUAACUCAACAGCAGGGGUUUGUGUAAUAAUAAUUCACAUAGCAAUGUCAAUGAUUAAAAUCCUUUCAUUAACAUGGUACCUUAAAGAUAAUGAAUGUGAAGCUUUUAGCUAACCCAAUCUCUAGGCUCAGAAAGGCAGUUUUUGCAGAAAAUAAAAUAGAAAAAAAAAAUCCUUGUACAGAUUAGCUUUUGCCAGCAGAACAAAUGAGAUCUUUGUUUGGGUGUGUUACAAAUACAAAGUCAUACAAAUCAAAGAGCAUUUAUUAUGAAUACAAUGAUGUAGCAUGCUUCUUUUGACAAAAGAAUUCUAAUAAUGCACUUGAAGAAUGCAAAACAGGCAUUCAGAAGUGCUAAUUUUCUGGCGGUUUUUGUAGACGGCACUGUCAAGGCACAGAUAAUCAACCGCGGGGUCAGAGUGCCUUGAGCUGAAUGUUGUCAGGGAUGUGGCGGAAGGUGCUUUGGGCUGGAUACGUCAUUUCUCUUCGGCCACUUCAAGAAUUUUAAACAGGUUUAUCUGUCAGGAUACAAGAAGUGUGGUUCAGUAAUUAGGGACACAAGACGAAAUACCGUUUUGGAAAAUUUUAAUAACUGCUAGGACGACUGUUCUACUGAAUUUGCUGUCUUUUCUAAAAAAUACAUUUCCACUUACAUUCUAAUGGCUUUUGCAUUUCAUUUUUACCAAAUGCAAAAGAUGUUUGCUGGAUGAAUUAAUCCACAUACAAACAGUAUAACUAAUAAAGAAAGGUGCCUUAGCAACAGCAGCAGAGUAACAUCAAGAAGACCAGUAACUCUCAUUCAAAUCAGUCACAGCAUUCUCCUCUUAAUAUACUGUGCUCUCAUUUCUAUAAGUCAAAUCUUGGUUUUGAAAACUAAUAUAUACUGUAUCUAUAUUUCCUACCGUCCCAUUGUACUAUAUAUAUGGAUUUUUUUUUAAUGUCAAAUAUAAUUGAUACAAUAGCCAACUCAUUUACAUGAAUAAAUUCUGUCUUAAACAGUUUUAUUUAAAGACUAAGAAAAAACUGUUCUUGACACCAUUUUUCCUAGUUAAGAUAAUAGGGUUUUUGUACAUUUUAAGCUAUUUUUCCCAGUUCAAUGGAAACAUUUAAAUCUCCAGUUAAGGGAUCAUGCUGCGAGGACUCAAGCAAAUGUGUGCCUUUAUUUAUGUAGAUGCUGCCACUGAAGUCAGCUGUGUGCUCGCUAAGCCUUUACUCUAUUAAGGUUUUUAGCAAAUGAUCAACAUGAACAGAAUUCCUCAACAAACAAGCUCAGCUGACAUUUUCAGUGGGGUGAGAGCCAAAUAGAUCUUCCAGAUUGUCUCUUUGCUGUGUCAUUCACUCAAGUAAGUAAUUCAAGGAGGAGGUCAGUGAAUGGGUAGUUAGUGGGAACACUUACUGCAGCUGUAGCUUCUCUGUGAUUUUCCUGUGGAUGAUUUCAUAUAUUUUUGUCUUUAGUGCAUUGCUGUUCCCAUUGCUCUCAUAAGCACAAAUAAUUGCUUCCAUUUUUUAAAGGAAAGAAAGCAGAAGAUAGCCCCCUAGAAAGCUGAGUCACUAAGCUGGCUACUAAAAUUAGUAUGACUAAGUAAAAGUUUCAUCUGUCAAGACAAAGCUUCGGGGUUUGAUUUGCCCAGCAAGAUGCAGAAUCUGUGGAAAUUCUUAAUCUCGUAUAUGUAAACCGAAAUGGACUGUAUCUUAUUAUUUUUCCUCAUAUUUUGGCUUACAGGCAAUAAUAACCUGGUAAAUUUGGUUCAGCUGAGCAGAGUUCUACACGCUAUGUAACUUGCCUUAUAGCUCUUCUCUUUGAAAGACCCUGCACUGAUAUAUAUGGAUUCUUAUUUCCCAGAAUGCCUCACAGCCUGAAAAAUUGAGAAGAAAAUCCUUGUUCUUGAAGUAAAAUCAUGCUGCAAAAUACAGAGCGGCUGCAGUUUCUUUGAGCCCCACAAGUGAGUUCUGUUGCUAACUGGGCAUUUUCAGCACUCUGCAACUUCCACGCAUAUGACAAAACAGAGCACGAUGCUGGGACUUGCGUAGUGAUGUGGCAUCACACUGCCACCAGAGAAAAGUUUUAGAAGUAUUUUUGGAUCUCUUGAGUAUUCACGAAAAAAGAAAUGCUUGACAGACUCCUUGCUCCUUUUCCAGGGAUGUCCUCUCAGCAGGAAAAAUGGUUGCGUGUAACAGAAAGGUGAAAUUCCAAGAUGGAAACCCCCCACUUUCCAACACGGGGAAGGACGUUUAUCAGGGAUUCAUGAAGUCAUUCCUUUGUGAAUCUAACAUCUCAUUUGAUGAACAUGCAGUCUGCUAGCAUAUGUGCAACAGUGCUGAAGUUCAUCAGACCCAGCAGUUCUGGGCUUCUCCAAAGCAGAGAAAAACAUGAAGAAACGCAGUUUGCAAACGUAUAUUUUCAGCCUCACCAUGCAGGGGGCCAUACAUUCCAGCUGGCAACACAUUAGCUUCCGAUUUGAAAGCCGUGAGCUUUGUUCCGGCUCAGUUCUUAAUUAACUGCAUGUCCUGAGGUAUAUAGGCAGCACUGUAAAAUCUCAAUGGAAAACCUCUCUGAGAGGCAGUAUUGACAAAUACUCUUCUACAGAGGCAGAUGUCCACUCCUAAUACCUUCAUCUACCAUGCCUCGAAUGCUGAAUGGGAUCCUCCGUUAUACACCGUUCCCAGCCUCAUUCCAAACCUGAAAGAAGAGAUGCUCUGGUCUGGCUUAGGCAAGCAAUAUUUCAGCAAUUACAGAUGACAGAGACAAUUUCAAGGCAAAUCAGGCCUAUCCUAAAUCAAAAUGGAUGGAUAUGGCAAGAGCACACUUCCAACACGUAACAAGAAAGAUCCUUCAGCACAAAACCUGGAUCUGUUGCUCAGAUAAGACAAGGAGCAUGUGUAGCAGCAGUUGAUGCGGGUUUGCUGCUGGCCAAACUCUGCCUGUUGGAACAGGUCCUCAGCUGUAUCUCCUGGCAGAACACUUCUCUUCGAAAAACACUCUUACGUGCAUUAAGUGAGUGGAGGACUCCCUAGCAAUAUCAAGAAAAUAAAUGGUUAAGCAAGUAGCAAGUUGAUCACAAUGGAAAAUGUACAAGAAUCAAGAAGAGACAAAAAGGCUCCUCGGGGUGCAUAGUUGUCCCUUUUACCCAUUAAAAACCCUCAUCCAGCUGUGUGGGCAUGGUGAGGUGUGCCAGGGUGAGCCUGGAUGGUGUAUGAUUCCUUCUGCUCUGCAUUCUUCUGGUUGGGGCAGUCACAUUUUGCAAAAUGCUCGUUGGAAAGUAAGAGGAGAUAGUCCUUCCACAGCAAAUUGAGCUGCAGCAUUUGAUAGCUUGUCUUCAACCUUGGGAUGUCACAACAGUGCUAAUCUGCAGGAGCCAGGGACAACCAGAUGGAAGCACGAGCUCCUCUAAAGACAAAUGGCUUGUCAGCGGCCAAUUGCAGAGUUUGAAUUGUUUCAACAGCGGGAAGUCUUACCCGAAUAUUCUUCUGAAAUCCAGACUUUUUCAAAAUGCAUCGAUCUAUUUUCCAAAUGGACUUGAUAUAUUCGGAUUCAUUAGCAGGUAACAGAACUGAUAAUGACUUUUGAAUGAAAUGCUGUUGUUCUCAUGCACACAGCUACAGCAGCCACGCAUGAAACCGUGGCCUCUGUAGUGACAGGGCAUUAAUAUUAGAAUCCUUUAGAAGAUGACAGUUUUGGAAGUUGUGACAAAUGAAGGCCUUGGCAUUAUCUUUGAGUGUCCUUGGUUGAGAGGGACAAAAGAGGCUUGGGAAUCAAGACAACCAAGACGUCAGACUUCCCAUUUUGCCACUGAUGUGUAGAGAACGUGUUGGGCAUCAGCUGCCUUCUGCAGUUCUCUAGUCUGAUAAAAAUGGGGACAGUCGUGCUUUUUUAUCCAACUCAAAACAGUGCCAUGACGGAUUAAUUAUUUGGAUGGCACUCGCAGUGCUAUCCAAAUGCUGCUUAUUCUUGUUUUCCCCACUGCAACAAUAUAUCUUCAUCACUAAUAAUUAACUGCUAAUUACGGUUGCUGAGACUAUGAUAGUGGUGUUUACCGCCUUAUUUUUAAUUUCAGGGUAGAUGCCUACUUAAAAGUUAUGUAAAUAUAUAAAAUUACAGUACAUUUUCCUAAUGACCCUGCUAUGUCUGAAUUUGAUCCUAUUCAAUGGUGACUGGAGUAAUAAAUAGUAAAGAUGACCUUUAUUCUGUAGAGCUAUACAGAUGGUUUCUAUUGUAUUCUCGACAGUUAAAUCAUGAAAUGUGAAGAAGCCAUUCUAAGCAGGAAACAGCUGGGUCGAAGGACUGCUGAUGCCAAUUAUGCUUCGUACAUAAUAAUGCACAUUUUACCUAUUUGGAAAAAAAUUCACAUUUAUUUACUGUCAAACAGGUGUUAAACUUUACACUGGGUAUUAGUGAUGGGCUCAUUAUUAACAGGUUUACACAAAGGGAUGAAAAAAGCAGAAUUUUUGUUGAAACAAUUUACAUUUCAUUAGGUUUUUAUCAUAAAAUAAAUUAAUUACUAAAUAUAGGCAGAAGGAAUAUGGAAGAGUAAUAGUUAUGUUUUAUUUAUUUGUUUUUUAAAGGACAGGCACCUUUUAUUCACGAGGAAGCUUGUGAGAAGUGUCCAGUGUCCCCUUUACCCCUUACCACCCAGCCCUGAUUAACGAAUGAACAGGGAAUGGAGUUACAAUCUUUGUUAGCUAUACCAAAUUUGUGCAAGGCUUGGCAUAAUUGGCGUCUAAAACAAUUUUCUCCCCAAAUUAUGUAGUUUGGCAAUAAAAAUUCAAAAAUUAAGAAUAAAAACUAACUUGUCAAAGCAGAACGCUGUUUACAGUGAAAAAUAAGUGAAAACGGGUAGAACUUCCAUUUUAAACAUACUACCGUACUAUGAACAGAGUGUAAGAAAAACAGCUUAUAACAUAUGUGCAACCAGGAGCUUUUCACAAUAUUUUCUUCAAACUCUUUAAAAUUAUUUUUAAUGACAAUUAUAUUUCAGUUGGACACAAACGUAUUUCUUUUACCCUAGCAAUAGAACAAAAUAUAAUUUCUGUAGCCAUUUUUUCAUGAGAACGGUUCAUUGUACAGUUGAGGAAAUAUAUGAAAUAAGGCCUGUGGCUUGAUUGCUAGUGGUUAGACAUGUGUUCAAUCUUUGCCCUAAUGGAAAAGAUUUGCAGUGAACUGCAAACUGAUGCAGAAUAUUUCUCCUGCCUUUGCAAGUCUUGUCAGGAAUAGUAAGGUACAGUAAAUUUGUCCCACAGGAUUUUAGAGCCUACGCCUUGUAUAUAAUACAAUGUAGGCCUAGAAAAAAAAUGGUGCAGCCAUAUUUACAAAUUUAGUUCACAAACUGCUGCAGUAAAAUGGCUGGAAAGUGUUUAUUUCUCUUUUUUUUCUUUUUCACAAUUUUGUUAAACUCAGCAGCAGAAGAUAUCUUAAAAUACCUUGUUGGUAUUUCUUUUCUUUGUAACAAAUAAUUCAUUUUAGUAUACUCUGUGUAUAUACAAAGUUUUUGUUUUAUAAAAAUUCACAGAACUGCGAGGUCCAGUCAUCCCUGUUACUGGAGAACCACAGGGUCAACAGAAUUGUCUCUUCGAGCAGAUAUGAGGGAGCCUGCGUGGGGCCAAUUAAGUCUUUUUAAUACUUGUACGUGGCCUUUAAUAUUUCUUUGCUACACUAUUAAAGGCUUGUCACUAGUUGCAUUUGUCCUUCUCUAACAUCCCCUUCAGGAAUACAUCCUUCCUUGUUAAUGGGAAUUAUAUAGCCGUCGCUAUUACCCCUGCUGAUUUGAUAGUACAUCUGAAGCUGAUGGCCAGCUCCCAGGUUUGGCAUGCUCUUGUAGUAAAUGUCCUCAUUUUCACUCCUCCUGGAGGGGGAGAGAUCUUCUUCAACGUCCGGGCUGCUCUCGGGGUAUGGAGAGUCUCUGAGGUUGGGCAUGCUUGUGUAGAGAGAGUCUCUGUUGGGGGACUGGAGGUGGUCGUCAGCCUCGGCUGUCAGCUGGGAGACGUAGCUGUCGGUUCCCUCGGUCUUCACUUUCUUCUGGGGCUGGUACAGAAGGGAGUGAGUCCGCUGAGGAAUGAGCGGGGCCUCAAGCUCUUUGUGGUGGAGCUCCAGCCCGGGGGUGUCGCUGUGCAUCAAAGAUGAGGCAUCUGCCACGAUGGCGUCAUCUUCGCUACUGCUCCCGCCGAUCACGGCUUUGGCUGGUAGCGUGCGCUCCAGGUUGUGGUUCUUGCUGCUGCCCCGCAGGUUGUUGUGCACUAAUUCUGAAAUGAUCAUUUUCUCAAAAGCAGUAUCAUUCAGGCUUAGUCCACAGUCUACGACUUGCACGCUGUCGUUAUAGUCUCCGUUGCGCAAUGAGUAGCUGUUGUUGAAAUUACCAUUUAGCGGUAGAGUAUCCAUGGCACUUGUAUCCCUGGCAUUGUUCAGUGAAUGUCCUGGAAU